UACAGAGGUCUCAAGCGUUAUCCGGAUUUAUUGGGUUUAAAGGGAGCGUAGGCGGUCUUAUAAGUCAGUGGUGAAAUCUUGUCGCUUAACGACAAACGUGCCAUUGAUACUGUAGGACUUGAGUACAGAUGCCGUUGGCGGAAUGUGUCAUGUAGCGGUGAAAUGCAUAGAUAUGACACAGAACACCGAUUGCGAAGGCAGCUGACGAAACUGUAACUGACGCUGAGGCUACGGAAAGCGUGGGGAUCAAACAGG
rnacentral:rRNA from 1 species